rnacentral:lncRNA from 1 species
UUGUAGUUUGCAUGUCUGAUACACUCUAUUGAAUUCCCUUUAAGAAAUUUCUAUCCUUCAGAGAUUUUAGCAUUUUAGCAGCUACCGUCCCCUUCCAGAUUGAAUGCAAAUUUUUCUUUUCAUUUUUCUUAGUUUCAUUAAGACAUUGUCUUGCUGUGUAAUUCAGGCUGGCCUUGAACUCACGCCAGCACAGGCUGGCCUACAACUGUUGGGAUCCUCCUGCCUCAGCCUCCCCAGUGCUGGGAUUACAGGCAUGUCCCACCAUGCCCAGCUAAAUAAGUGCAAAUCCUCAUACUGAUAAUCUGAAGGGCCUGUACAGUGUAGCAGACCUUGGAAACAAACCCAGUCAGCUUGAAGAGUCUCAAAAGGACCCUACCAGUGAGAAAUCAAGAUGGCAGUCCACUAUGGGGAAUUGAGGAAAAUGGAUUAAUACAAGAGUGCUGUGAUAAAAUACCACCAAGACAGGGUUCUUUUAACAUGGAUUCAGUGAAAUGAAUGAAACCUAUCUUAACCAACAAAUGGACAGUGGAUUUGACUUUGUAAAGACUUGUAUCAUUUAAACUAGUUUAUUUUUGACAUUUGGAGAAGAUGGCACGUUAACACAGAUGGUAGCGUGGAUACCUGAAUUUUUUUUUUGCAUAUUUUGAUUUGUUUGAAUAUGACCUCAUGGAAUGUUAACUUUAAUAAAAUUUCUAACAUUUAAAAAAAUUUCAGUUUGGGCCUUGUUCUUUUUCAAGUGGAAGUUUCAUUAAAUAUUCAAUUAUCACCUUAAUAACAAUUUGGUUCUUACAGUUGCCCAGCAGUAUAUUCAGUAAAACUGGUAACAUGGAAAUGAUGUGGUGGAAUAUGUUUUACUUGCUUGAUAAAGAUUUGUAUUUUCUCACAAAGCUAUGGGAAUUUAUCUGUGCUUUGGCAUGGCUAUUAGUUAAAACAUGAUUUUUUUCAGGUUUGUUUGAAGUUUUGAAUGCAU